rnacentral:rRNA from 1 species
GAUGAACGCUGGCGGCGUGCCUAACACAUGCAAGUCGAGCGGCAGCGUGGGGUGCUUGCACCCUGUCGGCGAGCGGCGGACGGCUGAGUAACGCGUGGGAACGUGCCCCAAAGUGAGGAAUAACUGCCCGAAAGGGUAGCUAAUACCGCAUAUUAUCUUCGGAUCAAAGGAUUUAGCCGCUUUGGGAGCGGCUCGCGUCGGAUUAGGUAGUUGGUGAGGUAAUGGCUCACCAAGCCGACGAUCCGUAGCUGGUCUGAGAGGAUGACCAACCAGGCUGGAGCUGAGACACGGUCCAGACUCCUGCGGGAGGCAGCAGUGAAGUAUCCUCCACAAUGGGCGGAAGCCUGAUGGAACAACGCCGCGUGCAGGACGAAGGCCUUCGGGUUGUAAACUGCUUUUAUAAGUGAGGAAUAUGACGGUAACUUAUGAAUAAGGAUCGGCUAACUACGUG